rnacentral:lncRNA from 1 species
GAACAUUCAUCUUUUCCAAAAAUUAAAAAAAAAAAAACAAAACAAACUUUCUAUAAUUGACUCUAUUUGCCUCUGAUGAUUUUGGCUUGGGCUAUAUUCCUGGCAGGAGCAGUGUCAACCUCACUGAAACCACACAAACUCAGAAAAGGAACCAACAACUCCCUAUAAAGAGUCAGGGCACUUUUGCCAGAAACAGGGCAAGUGUUUACUGGGAAAGCAAAAAUGAUCAAUCUCUGAUACACAGAUAAUUUGGAAAAUAGAAAUAAUAACCCCUAACUUCCCAAUUUGAAUAUAACUGUUGUUGGUAUUUUGGCAAAUUUACUUCCAUUAUUUUUCCUGAUUGAGAUUAUUUUUACAUGAUUGUGAUUGUAAUUAUGGUUUACUUCAAAUUCUUCUCCUGCUUUUUUUCUCUUACCAUUCUCUUGUAUGCAUUUUCCAUGCCUAUCAUUUUUCUAACCAUAAUUUUAUGUCCAUGGACACCAAAGUUGCUUCCUUUUCUUUAAAAAUUAUAAAUAGGAGUUCCCUUGUGGUACAGAAGGUUAAGGACCUGGUGUUGUCACUGUAACUUUUUAGAUCACUACUGUGGUGCAGGUUCAGCCCCUGGUCCAGGAACUUCCAUGUGCCAGGAACUUCCAUGUGCCACAGGUGAUCCAAUAAGUAAAUAAAUAAGUAAAUAAAUAGAAAUUAUAAAUAAAGCUGUGAUAAACAUCGCCAUGCAUAUAGCUUUUUCCACUGCUUGGAUUAUUUCCUUAGAACAGCUGAAUUUGGGAGUUCCCGUCNAAGAGUAUGCAUAUGGUUAAGCCCUUUCUAAAUUUUGCCCAUUUUCUAAAAGGGACUGUAUUUAUUCAUAAAGGCUAUCACCGAUAUAAAAGUAGUCAUUAUAUGUAACAUGUUGUCAGGUCAAAGGACACCACUAAAGAUGAUGAAGGUAGCGGUUUCUUUGCGGGUGAUGAAAAUACUUAUGAAGAGGAUUUUUUAACCUUUGAAACUGUAUCGAUUUUGCAGAAAUCAGCUGUAUUCUGCCCAUUCAUGCAGAUGCAUGUUUUCUUUUUGAAAAAUUACGUUCAUCAUAUAAGAACACAAAUUUAUAGGAAAUCAAGAAAGUAAUAUCAAUAAUAUGGCACGGGAUUAUCACAGAUUUCAGCCAACUCUCAUUUCACUAAUAUCUUCCACACAAUAUAGCUAAUUAAGCAUCUGGGCAAAAAUGCGCCCAUAAGAACAUACCUCACUAUGCUGUUAAUGAUAGCAACACAAUGGAGUCCUGACUCCUGAGGUUUAGAUGCUUUUCUCCACCUGUUUGCUAGACCUCUCAAACCUGAAUGUCUCAGGGCAUCUCAAACAUAUUCAAAAUGGAAACCAUUUUAGGACCUAGCACAACGCCCAGAAUGUAGAAAAUGAUCAGAAAUAGCUCUUUGGUGAAUGUUGUUGUCCAAUAAAUCCACUUUACUUUCUAUAAUUCAUUAUGCUGAAUGGUUUUUCAUCUAAGCUAGAAACCCCAUUAUCCCACCAUCAACCUUCUUUGCAGCCUUCUAUUGGAGUAAUCACCAAAUUCUCUCUCUUUUUUUUUUUUUUUUUUUUUUUUUGUUGUUGUUGUUGUUGUUGCUAUUUCUUGGGCCGCUCCCGCGGCAUAUGGAGGUUCCCAGGCUAGGGGUCCAAUCGGAGCUGUAGCCACCGGCCUACACCAGAGCCACAGCAACGCGGGAUCCGAGCCACGUCUGCAACCUACACCACAGCUCACGGCAACGCCGGAUCGCCAACCCACUGAGCAAGGGCAGGGACCGAACCCGCAACCUCAUGGUUCCUAGUCGGAUUCGUUAACCACUGCGCCACGAUGGGAACUCCACCAAAUUCUCUUAAUUCCACUUUAAAAAGGCCCACCGUCCCUAUUCUCCAAACCAUUUCUACUGCCCUAGUUCAAUCCGCUCUCAUCUCUCACCUGGAUUAUUAGCACAACUGCCUCCAGUCUUAUCCUUUCUCCACUCUCCUAAAAUAAUGAGCUUUCUAGAAUUCAGAGCCUUUCUAGAAUUCUAAGCAGUCAUGGUCCUCUUCUGCUUAGAAUUCCACAAUGGUUCCCCCUACACAGGGCAAAAUCUGAAACCAUCUGCCUGGCAUAUAAGAGCCUUGGUAUCAUUUGACCUCUGCCUACAUGCCUGACCUCACCUCCCAUCUCUGCUCCCACCCCGCCCACGGCAGCAUGACUGAACUGAUGACAGCCCUCUCAAUUUGCACUCAUCUUUCCCAUUUUCUUCCUGCAUAUCAUUUUGCAGCUGCCUCUCUGGAAUACUCUCUCGCUCUACUUUGUGAGUCUGAGAGCCAAUUUUGACUUUUUCUUCAAAACUCAUCUUAAAAGAAAGUAAGUCCUUUGAAAAUAUUGAAGAGGAGGUCAGAUGAGGACAGGAUCAGCUCUGUAGUUCUGGUGCAUCGCUUUGCAUAAAAGCACUGGCUGGAGCUAUCAGCGUGGAAAAAUUCUCAGGACAGCACGAAAUGAGAGACAAGCCGUCAGCCACAUUAGAAGGCAGAAGAAGGGAAAGAAAAAAAAAAAUAGGAAACCAAGAGGAGCGUAGACACAUGCAAUCUCCCAGAAUUCAAGGGAGGGGAGAGGUUUAAGCAGAAUGGUAUGACGAAAACCGUCAAAUGCAGAAGAGAAAUAAGAGUAGGGUGAUAACCUCAAAGCGGGCACUGGUUUUGAUACUGAGGAGGCUUUUGUAAUCUUGGAGCAGUUUCAGGGGAAGAUGGAGGCAAAAUCUGACUGCAGGUGUUUGGCUGAAGAAGAAAUGGAGUUGACCACUCUAAACUACGCUUUCAAAGGCUGGGAUUAAAGUUGGAAAGAGGGCCAUUGGGUGAUGGCUUGAGGGGUAGAUAGGAUAAGAGAAGGAUUUUUUUUUUUUUUUGUCUUUUUAGGGCUGCACCCAUGGCGUAUGGAAUUUCCCCAGCUAGGGGUCCAAUCGUAGCUGCAGCUGCUGGCCUAUCCCACAGUCACGUGGGAUCUGAGCCACAUCUGUGACCUACACCACAGCUCAUGCAAAUGGCAGAUCCUAAACGCCCUGAGCAAGGUCAGGGAUCGAACCCACAUCCUCAUGGUUCGUUAACCACUGAGCCAUGAAGGGAACUCUGGUUUUUUUGUUUGUUUGUUUUUAAGAGGGAAUAUCAGCGAGCAGAGAGGACAGAGCAGGGGAGGAGGCAGUGAUGAAAGACACAGAUCUGAGACAGAGGAAGAUCUCUGAAGACACCAAAAGGGAUGUGAUCAAGGGCCCAGAUGAAGGACGAGGUGUCAUGGGGGAGAAGGGACCACCCGAAUGUAGGAAAAGAAAAACAGGCUGUUAUGUGAUCCUCAAUUCCCAAAACAUUGCACGAGGCCUUGUUAAAGUCUGCAAAAUGAUCCGAAGAUAAAAGAAGAUAUGAGAGGAUUUCUAUAUACUUCACCAUAUUACUUCUGGCCAGUUUUGACAGUGAGCGGCAAGGAUUGAGCGAUACAUGCGAAUAUGAAAAAUGGCAACUCAAAGUAACUCCCUUGGAAGGGAAAGGGAAAAGGUGGUGUUAGUUUGGAAGGUGAGGGAAAGAAGGGAGGGCGUGAUGAAGGUAAACCGAGGAACGCACAGUCUUUGGAACCAGACAAACCUGGAAGCAAUGUUGGCUCUACCACUUACUUUGAUUUUAAAUAUGUUUCUUAACCUUCUCUGCUCCUGAGUUUCUUCUUUCAAAAUGCUAUGAAUAAUACUUGCCUCCUGGGAUUGGAAUGAGAAUCAGAGGCAGUAUAUUUGAAAAAAAAAAAAAGUAGUACAUGUUUUUCACCUUCCAUUCCCUCUUUUCCAGGAAAUAUCACCUGGAGAUAUUUAUUGACUGUAUUUAAGUGAUCUUCAUCAAGGUGUGUGCCAGGGAAGUUUUUUAAAGAAAUAUGCCACGUAUAGAUAAAUUAAGAUGGUUACCUUAAAAAAUAUUCAGUAAAAAAUGAAGAGCAUGAGGAGUUCCUAGUGGCUCAUUGGGCUAACCAUCUGGCACUGUCACUGCCAUGGCUCAGGUUGCUUCUGUGGCUCAGGUUAUUGCUAUGGCUAUUGUGUGGCCAAAAAAAUAAAGAUGAAUAGCAUGAGGCCAGAAUGGCAGGAAAGGCAAAACAUAUAUAGCUUUAUAGCUUGUGGCUAUAAAAGAUAGUAUAAGAAACAGUAAAGAUAAUAUUGGUAGAGAAGUCUUAAAAGAAAGAAGGAAAGAAGAAGAAAAGA